UACGGAGGGUGCAAGCGUUGUCCGGAAUCACUGGGCGUAAAGGGCGCGUAGGCGGCUCAUGAAGGCUGUGGUGAAAGCCCGGGGCUCAACCCCGGGUCGGCCGUGCGAACUGCUGGGCUGGAGCACUGUAGAGGCAGGUGGAAUUCCGGGUGUAGCGGUGGAAUGCGUAGAGAUCCGGAAGAACACCGGUGGCGAAGGCGGCCUGCUGGGCAGUAGCUGACGCUGAUGCGCGACAGCGUGGGGAGCAAACAGG
rnacentral:rRNA from 1 species